rnacentral:lncRNA from 1 species
UCUCAGUUACCAAGUGCAGCUCUCUGUAAAAGGCUGAAAUCAGAAUGACACCCUAAAGACUUCUGUUCCACUCUCCCAUGCCCUCCUAAGAAGAUGUUUUAUUCCUCUUAUAUGCCACCCUCCAGUUUUCAUGGAACGCCAUUUAUAACAAAAGAUCUUCAAGCAUAAAAGAGCUCUGCUUUGACACUUUGCAAUAAGGCAGUCUGGCCAAGUAGACCCAGAUUGGCAGGAGCAAGUGCUGUAAUACUCAGUUCUCAGUGGAUGAUUAAAACUGAAAGCACCUGUGAUGUCUGGAUGAGAAAAAGCGUCCCAAUUUGUAAGAUGUUUUCAGGUAUAUCAGGCCAUGGUGCCAACUGGAUUUCAAACGUGCUGGAUUACAGUGGAACCCCUGUGGAAGAACCUGUGACAUUCACAUGAACACCACAUGAAUUCUUAAUAAUCUGCAGGUUAUACUGAAUACUGA